rnacentral:rRNA from 1 species
AACGAACGCUGGCGGCAUGCCUAACACAUGCAAGUCGAACGAGACCUUCGUGUCUAGUGGCGACCGGGUGCGUAACGCGUGGGAACCUGCCCUUAGGUUCGGAAUAACUCCCCGAAAUGGGUGCUAAUACCGGAUACUGUCUUCGGACCAAAGCUUUAUCGCCUUUGGAUGGGCCCGCGUUGGAUUGGCUAGUUGGUAGGGUAAAAGCCUACCAAGGCGAGGAGCCGUAGCUGGUCGGAGAGGAGGAUCAGCCACACUGGGACUGAGACACGGCCCAGACUCCUAGGGGAGGCAGCAGUGGGGAAUAUUGGAGAAUGAGCGAAAGGCUGAGACAGCAAUGGCGCGUGAGUGAUGAAGGCGUUAGGGUUGUAAAGCUCUUUUAACCGGGAUGAUAAUGACAGUACCGGGAGAAGAAGCACCGGCUAACUACGUG